rnacentral:rRNA from 1 species
GACGAACGCUGGCGGCGUGCUUAACACAUGCAAGUCGAACGGUGACCUCGAGAGCUUGCUCUUGGGUGAUCAGUGGCGAACGGGUGAGCAACACGUGAGGAACCUGCCCCAGACUCUGGAAUAACCCCGGGAAACCGGAGCUAAUACCGGAUAUGACAUCAGGCCGCAUGGUCAUGGUGUGGAAAGUUUUUCGGUCUGGGAUGGCCUCGCGGCCUAUCAGCUUGUUGGUGAGGUAGUGGCUCACCAAGGCGACGACGGGUAGCCGGCCUGAGAGGGCGACCGGCCACACUGGGACUGAGACACGGACCAGACUCCUACGGGAGGCAGCAGUGGGGAAUAUUGCACAAUGGGCGAAAGCCUGAUGCAGCGACGCCGCGUGAGGGAUGACGGCCUUCGGGUUGUAAACCUCUUUCAGCGGGGACGAAGCGAAAGUGACGGUACCCGCAGAAGAAGCACCGGCUAACUACGUGCCAGCCGCCGCCGUAACAC